UGUGACGCCGUAAAAAUUUUACACUCGCGCUUUUAAUCGCAAAUUAUCGCGGUAAAAUCAUCAGAGAAAGUCAUUAAACAUUGUUGAACGACUCCUGGGGACGUGAGCAAUGGUCUCAGUGUAAAAAUGGUGAACAAUAAACAAUUUUGAGAGUCUGGUAUCGAUCUUAUUAUCGAGCGCGCGUUCGGAAAUCCACAACUCGUGUUUUCUCCCGCCUUUUGACAAAUCGCCGGGCGAUUUUCGUUCAAAAUUCAGCAGAAAAUCGAGACAACGAGUAAUAUUUUUGACUCCAUGCUGCGAUAAGUGAAAAAAUGAGAGGAGUUGACCUCCAAUUAAACACCGGAACCUCAUUAUAAAUUUCUGGAAGGAUGAGCUCGAGUCUUUUCGGGGGGAAAACAAACAGAUGAGGAACACAGGCACACAUUGGAGCUCCGGGAUGAUUUACGAGAAUUGCACUCGGAAUAUCCACGAUGGUAUGCAAACAUUGGAGAUUCGAGGGAGGAUAGAACAGAAGCUGGGGUGAUUCGGUGGUUGCACGCGGCAUCGAGGGUACCUGCUAUGAGUGGCCUCAGAGGGGACAUGCUGCACAGGCACCAACAGUGGGGACUUCUCCAGAGCUCCAAUGGUGACGGC